rnacentral:rRNA from 1 species
AUUGCCCUAGUAACGGCGAGUGAAGCGGCAACAGCUCAAAUUUGAAAUCUGGCCCUCGGGCCCGAGUUGUAAUUUGUAGAGGAUGCUUUUGGUGCGGUGCCUUCCGAGUUCCCUGGAACGGGACGCCAUAGAGGGUGAGAGCCCCGUCUGGUCGGACGCCAAUCCUCUGUAAAGCUCCUUCGACGAGUCGAGUAGUUUGGGAAUGCUGCUCUAAAUGGGAGGUAUAUGUCUUCUAAAGCUAAAUACCGGCCAGAGACCGAUAGCGCACAAGUAGAGUGAUCGAAAGAUGAAAAGCACUUUGAAAAGAGAGUUAAAAAGUACGUGAAAUUGUUGAAAGGGAAGCGCUUGUGACCAGACUUGGGCUCGGUCGAUCAUCCGGGGUUCUCCCCGGUGCACUCUUCCAGCCCAGGCCAGCAUCAGUUCGCCGCGGGGGACAAAGGUUUCGGGAAUGUGGCUCCCCCGGGAGUGUUAUAGCCCGUUGCGCAAUGCCCCGAGGCGGACUGAGGUUCGCGCUCCGCAAGGAUGCUGGCGUAAUGGUCACCAGUGACCCGUCUUGAAACACGGACCAAGGAGUCGUCUUCGUAUGCGAGUGUUCGGGUGUCAAACCCCUACGCGGAAUGAAAGUGAACGCAGGUGAGAGCUUCGGCGCAUCACCGACCGAUCCUGAUGUUCUCGGAUGGAUUUGAGUAAGAGCAUACGGGGCCGGACCCGAAAGAAGGUGAACUAUGCCUGUAUAGGGUGAAGCCAGAGGAAACUCUGGUGGAGGCUCGCAGCGGUUCUGACGUGCAAAUCGAUCGUCAAAUAUGGGCAUGGGGGCGAAAGACUAAU